GACGAACGCUGGCGGCGUGCCUAAUACAUGCAAGUAGAACGCUGAAGGAGGAGCUUGCUUCUCUGGAUGAGUUGCGAACGGGUGAGUAACGCGUAGGUAACCUGCCUGGUAGCGGGGGAUAACUAUUGGAAACGAUAGCUAAUACCGCAUAAGAGUAGAUGUUGCAUGACAUUUGCUUAAAAGGUGCAAUUGCAUCACUACCAGAUGGACCUGCGUUGUAUUAGCUAGUUGGUGGGGUAACGGCUCACCAAGGCGACGAUACAUAGCCGACCUGAGAGGGUGAUCGGCCACACUGGGACUGGGACACGGCCCAGACUCCUACGGGAGGCAGCAGUAGGGAAUCUUCGGCAAUGGACGGAAGUCUGACCGAGCAACGCCGCGUGAGUGAAGAAGGUUUUCGGAUCGUAAAGCUCUGUUGUAAGAGAAGAACGAGUGUGAGAGUGGAAAGUUCACACUGUGACGGUAUCUUAACAGAAAGGGACGGCUAACUACGUG
rnacentral:rRNA from 1 species